CCAAAAUUAUUUACUGUCAAUUAUUCGUGUUCGUACCCUAGUGAAACGCAAUCUCAAAAUGCGCUCCGUCUUUACUGUAUCUAACUCGUUUUUACCUAGUGGCGAAUCCCUCGGUUGGUUUCGGGUGCGGAAAUGAAUAAAAAUUAUUGCGUUUUUCCUUUCUUCGCUCUAACGUCGGACAAAGGAGACGUGUUGCACGCGGUUGGAAAGGAAAAUUAUCAGGGCGGCCUCCGUUCCUGCAUCUUGGCUGGUCGAAGGAUGGAAGAUAUUAUUACUGGAAAGGAAGUUGUCGCCGAGGCUUCCUCUUAGUGUCCUUUCCUAUCGUCUGGAACCAUAGCUGUUUGACUGUAUCGCUUCACACUUUUGUUCGGUGACCGUAAUAUGGUGUUUUUGGGCCCCGUAGUGGAAGAUAUGCUUUUCAUGUAAAGGAGUCUGCGACGGUGACUCGCUCUUAGUGCUUCUAUUGAAGAAAGCCAUAGCCGACUGUGUAGAGGGUCCCGCUGAACGAUAUGCGUCUUCCUAUUUGCGUUAUCGACGGUGUCUCUGAUGGUAUGCUGUUUUCCGUUCAUGAUCAUUUCGGUACCGAAGUUUAGGAAGUAUGGGCUGUAUUUAGUUGAGUCGUUUAUGGCCGAUCGAAUUGCACAACCAAUCUCUGGUAGUAGCUCAUCCCACCUCGUGUGGUCCUCACCUAGGUAUGCUCUGAUGGUCUGUCCGAUGACUCUGUUAUACCGUUCGGCCAUGUUUGCCUGAGCAUGGUAUUUUGGCGUUCGAAAGGACUCGACUCCAUAUUCUUCAAGGAGAUUUUUAUAUUCGUGACUCAGAAACUGAGUUCCGUUAUCUGAAACUAUGCGUCGAGGUGUACCAUAGACGAGGAAGAUUUCGUUCUUUAGAGUCUUCACCAUACGGGAAGCCUCUGCUUGUCGAAAUGGAAAAAUCAAACAAAAUUUCGUCAGGAUAUCGACCGCUACAAAAAUAACGGUAUUUCCGGAUCGGGUUCGAGGAUACGGGCCACUGAAAUCCGCUGCGAUUAUUUCCCAUUUCCUGGUGGCUGUUAUUUGGUUAACCAUAGGGGCAACUGUUUUCCGAUUGAGGUCCUUACUGGUUUUGCACACUUCGCAGUUUGAAAUUGGUUUUCGGCACUCCGAGGUGGCCUGAAAUAGGGAGAUCGUGGUGUUCUUUCAUCACAUCCUGGAUGUUUUCCUGUGGUACAACAAUUCUCCACUGUUCAGACGAGUCUUGGAAUUCGUCUUUGAUCUUACAGAGUUUAAGGAGUUUGCCGUCCAGAACUUUGAACUUGGGGUACGUUGAUGGCUCUUCAGUCACCUUUUGGAUCAUUUCUUUAUACCAAGAGUCACCGGUGUCUAAUGUGCAUGUCUGGAGAGAUUCCACAACAGCCCUGGAUAAAGCAUCAGGAACAACGUGCAGUUUUCCUUUCCGAUGUUGUAGCUCAAAGUUGUGCUCAGAUAAACGCAUUGCCCACCGAGCCAAUUUUCCGUUGGAAUGUUUGAAGUUUAAGAGCCACAGUAAAGAAGCAUGAUCGGUGACAACUUUGAAUCGAC